rnacentral:misc_RNA from 1 species
UACGGAGGGUGCAAGCGUUAUCCGGAAUCAUUGGGUUUAAAGGGUCCGCAGGCGGUCUUAUAAGUCAGUGGUGAAAUCUCGUAGCUUAACUAUGAAACUGCCAUUGAUACUGUAGGACUUGAAUUCGGUCGAAGUAGGCGGAAUAUGACAUGUAGCGGUGAAAUGCGUAGAUAUGUCAUAGAACACCGAUAGCGAGGCAGCUCACUAGGCCUGGAUUGACGCUCAGGGACGAAAGCGUGGGGAGCAAACAGG